CUACGGGUGGCUGCAGUGGGGAAUAUUGGACAAUGGGCGAAAGCCUGAUCCAGCCAUGCCGCGUGUGUGAAGAAGGCCUUCGGGUUGUAAAGCACUUUCAGUGGGGAAGAAAGCCUUGGGGCUAAUACCCUCGAGGAAGGACAUCACCCACAGAAGAAGCACCGGCUAACUCCGUGCCAGCAGCCGCGGUAAUACGGAGGGUGCGAGCGUUAAUCGGAAUUACUGGGCGUAAAGCGCGCGUAGGCGGUCUGAUAAGCCGGUUGUGAAAGCCCCGGGCUCAACCUGGGAACGGCAUCCGGAACUGUCAGGCUAGAGAGCAGGAGAGGAAGGUAGAAUUCCCGGUGUAGCGGUGAAAUGCGUAGAGAUCGGGAGGAAUACCAGUGGCGAAGGCGGCCUUCUGGACUGACACUGACGCUGAGGUGCGAAAGCGUGGGUAGCAAACAGGAUUAGAUACCCUGGUAGUC
rnacentral:rRNA from 1 species